UCGUUGGGUGCAUCAAAAGUU
rnacentral:piRNA from 1 species